CCCUGGCUCAGGACGAACGCUGGCGGCAUGCCUAAUACAUGCAAGUCGAGCGGACUUGAAAGGAAGCUUGCUUCUUUGAUAGUUAGCGGCGGACGGGUGAGUAACACGUAGGCAACCUGCCCUCAAGUUUGGGACAACUACCGGAAACGGUAGCUAAUACCGAAUAAUUGUUUUCUUCGCCUGAAGGAAACUGGAAAGACGGAGCAAUCUGUCACUUGGGGAUGGGCCUGCGGCGCAUUAGCUAGUUGGUGAGGUAACGGCUCACCAAGGCGACGAUGCGUAGCCGACCUGAGAGGGUGAUCGGCCACACUGGGACUGAGACACGGCCCAGACUCCUACGGGAGGCAGCAGUAGGGAAUCUUCCGCAAUGGGCGAAAGCCUGACGGAGCAAUGCCGCGUGAGUGAUGAAGGUUUUCGGAUCGUAAAGCUCUGUUGCCAGGGAAGAACGCUUGGGAGAGUAACUGCUCUCAAGGUGACGGUACCUGAGAAGAAAGCCCCGG
rnacentral:rRNA from 1 species